rnacentral:lncRNA from 1 species
CGGUGUUCAGUCACUCAACAAAUGUGGAGCCCUACUGCGACCCGCCCGAUCCCGGACGCCGAGACACCCGCACUGCGCCAGAAAAUCAUGGUCCCAGUCCCAGGAGCGGACAUUCCAGAAACAGACCAUAAAUAAACACAGAAGACACACGAGUGUAAAGUCAGUGCCCCGCUGCGAAUUAAAUCGGGGUGAUGUGAUGGCGA